rnacentral:rRNA from 1 species
GUGUUGUUUGUGAAGGGCACACGGUGGAUGCCUGGGCAUUAUGAGCCGAUGAAGGACGUGUAAGGCUGCGAUAGGCCUCGGGGAGUUGCCAAUAGAGCGUUGAUCCGAGGGUGUCCGAAUGGGGAAACCUGGCCAUGGUUAUGUGUGGUUACCCAUCAGUGAAUGUAUAGCUGGUGUGGGGGUGACGCGGGGAAGUGAAACAUCUUAGUACCCGUAGGAGAAGAAAAUAAUUAAUGAUUCUGCUAGUAGUGGCGAACGAACGUGGAUGAGGCUAAACCGUAUGCGUGUGAUACCUGGCAGGGGUUGCGUGUGUGGUGUUGUGGGGCGUUGUUGGAGGAGGCUGCCGGCUCCUCGCUUGUGUAUGUGUGUGUUAGCGGAAGUGGUUUGGAAUGGCCUGCCGUAGUGGGUGAGAGUCCCGUACGUGAAAGUGCAUGCAUGUGAGUGGAUGAUGUUCCCGAGUAGCAGCGGGCUCGUGGAAUCUGCUGUGAAUCUGCCGGGACCACCCGGUAAGCCUAAAUACUUAUGAUGACCGAUAGCGGAUUAGUACCGUGAGGGAAUGGUGAAAAGUACCCCGGGAGGGGAGUGAAAUAGUACCUGAAACCGUGUGCUUACAAUCCGUCAGAGCCUUGUUGUGGGGUGAUGGCGUGCCUUUUGAAGAAUGAGCCUGCGAGUCAGCGGCAUGUCGCGAGGUUAACCCGUGUGGGGUAGUCGUAGCGAAAGCGAAUCCUAAUGAGGGUGUUGUCAGUGGCAUGUUCUGGACCCGAAGCGGGGUGAUCUACCCAUGGCCAGUGUGAAGCAGCUGUAAGAGGUUGUGGAGGCGCGAACCCACUUAGGUUGA